rnacentral:rRNA from 1 species
UGGGGAAUUUUGGACAAUGGGCGAAAGCCUGAUCCCGCAAUGCCGCGUGAGUGAAGAAGGCCUUCGGGUUGUAAAGCUCUUUUGUCAGGGAAGAAACGGUGAGGGCUAAUAUCCCUUGCUAAUGACGGUACCUGAAGAAUAAGCACCGGCUAACUACGUGCCAGCAGCCGCGGUAAUACGUAGGGUGCAAGCGUUAAUCGGAAUUACUGGGCGUAAAGCGUGCGCAGGCGGUUUUGUAAGUCUGAUGUGAAAUCCCCGGGCUCAACCUGGGAAUUGCAUUGGAGACUGCAAGGCUAGAAUCUGGCAGAGGGGGGUAGAAUUCCACGUGUAGCAGUGAAAUGCGUAGAUAUGUGGAGGAACACCGAUGGCGAAGGCAGCCCCCUGGGUCAAGAUUGACGCUCAUGCACGAAAGCGUGGGGAGCAAACA